rnacentral:rRNA from 1 species
CGAAGAGUGGGGGGACGCGGGGGCGGCGCCGGACGGACCUAGAAAUGCUUCCGAUGACUAAUAUGGCCCCUGUCCGGGCCGGGGAGAAUCUGUCCCCUUUCAAAGUUGGGAGAGACUUACCCGGGUGACUAGGGGGGGGGGGCGGGGGGUUAAUUUUGAAGGUGGUUCUUCCCGCUAACAACUAUUAAAGAACGAGGGGGGGCCUGCCCCUAAGAGUCUCUUGACGGCCUCCCCCCCCGGGAAAGGCCCGUCGGUGAGAGAAAGAGGCCCCCCCCCCCCCAAAAAAAACAGAUUUUUAAAAAAAAUUAUAUCUCUCUCUCCCCCCCUCGUACACGCCCGUCGCUACUACCGAUGAAUGCUCGUGAACCUUCGACUGCCCAGAGGGUUGCAACGACCCCCCAGACCGAAAGUUAUCAAACCCGGUCAUUUAGAGAAGUAAAAGUCGUAACAAGGUUUCCGUAAUGAACCUGCGGAAGAUCAUUACCGAGUGUAGAAUUCCUAGCGAGCCCAACCUCCCACCCGUGUUUACUGUACCUUAGUUGCUUCGGCGGGCCCGCCAUUCAUGACCGCCGGGGGGCUCUCAGCCCCGGGCCCGCGCCCGCCGAAGACACCACGAACUCUGUCUGAUCUAGUGAAGUCUGAGUUGAUGUAUCGCAAUCAGUUAAAACUUUCAACAAUAAUCUCUUGUUCCGGCAUCGAGAAGAACGCAGCGAAAGCGAUAACUAGUGUGAAUUGCAGAAUUCCGGAAUCAUCGAGUCUUUGAACGCACAUUGCGCCCCCUGGUAUUCCGGGGGGCAUGCCUGUCCGAGCGUCAUUGCUGCCCAUCAAGCACGGCUUGUGUGUUGGGUCGUCGUCCCCUCUCCGGGGGGGACGGGCCCCAAAGGCAGCGGCGGCACCGCGUCCGAUCCUCGAGCGUAUGGGGCUUUGUCACCCGCUCUGUAGGCCCGGCCGGCGCUUGCGCGAACGCAAAUCAAUCUUUCCGAGGUGACCUCGGAUCGAGGUAGCAGCGGGGUUAU